rnacentral:sRNA from 1 species
UCCCUAUCAGUAAAGGUCUCAGACUCAAGU